GAUGAAGAACGUAGCGAAAUGCGAUAAGUAAUGUGAAUUGCAGAAUUCAGUGAAUCAUCGAAUCUUUGAACGCACAUUGCGCCCCUUGGUAUUCCGAGGGGCAUGCCUGUUCGAGCGUCAUUUCAACCCUCAAGCACAGCUUGGUCUUGGGCUUCGCCGCUAACCCGGCGGGUCUUAAAAUCAGUGGCGGUGCCGUCGGGCCCUGAGCGCAGUAAUCUCUCACGCUAUAGGGUCCCGGCGGAUGCUGGCCAGUAACCCCCAAUUUUCUAUGGUUGACCUCGGAUCAGGUAGGGAUACCCGCUGAACUUAAGCAUAUCAAUAAGCGGAGGA
rnacentral:misc_RNA from 1 species